GGAGGAAUUCAGCUACGAAGACUUCUGUGGAAGAGAUGCCUAGGGGUUACUAGUAACACCAUAACACACACGCUUGAGUCUUGUGGCUUAGAGGUUUUCAGACAACAUUGAUCACCAGUGGACGCUACUCUAAUUCCUAACUUUUCCAAAUACCAUCAAAACAAAGUUGUGAACCAACACUUACUGAAGAUUUGAGGAAAAUGAUGAAAACUAGUAGUACUGUACUGUAUAAGCAGCAACUAAAAGCUGAAUAUUAGCCAUUAUUCGACUACAUUUUGUUGACUAUUUGUCAUCUUAGAAUAUUUCCUAUGGACUCCUUCCUCUAUGGACCAGAUUUAAUGUAACUGUUUAUGUUGCCUGCUCUGUCCCUCCACCUCCUUUUUCCAGUUGCCCAGAGAUGUCAAACUUUUCUUGUAUAACUAUGGAAAAUGGCUAUCUUAUAUUGUUUUACUUACUCUCAUCUAGCUUAAGCCCUUUAGUAUCUUCUAAAUUCACUGACAAACAGACCUUGUCUUAUUAAUUAAAAAAAUCACUUACUCCAUAGCCUAAUUAUGCAACUUUCCUAGAUAAUACGUGUCAUAUUUUUCGUAAAAUUAUAUUUCCC
rnacentral:lncRNA from 1 species